UGGAAAGGAAGCAGUAUUAGGUAGAGUUGCUGACAAUGCCAACCACAAAACACACAUACGGUCAGGAGAAUGCUCACUUUAAUCAAUGGACCAAGAAUGGAGGACUUCCCAUAGUUCUCAGAUACAAUUGAAUAAAGAGAGAUUCCUUCAGGUAAUUUCUGUUCUGAGUCACCAACCUGAGAAAAAGAGUAAUUGCCAAAUAAUUCCCCUAAAAUUCUAACCCAGAUGCUGAACUGACAAAGAACAGCAAACAAAUACAAACAAUACUAAUAUACACAUGUGCUGAUGUGCAUAAUAUAUAAAUUAGCAAGGGAUUCAUGCAAAAUGUAAGAUGAUUCCCAGCAAAGAUUAAAUGUCUUAGGGCAAAAAAGACAAAAAGUCACUCACAAGGUCAAUUAUUACUGGAUCUUUUAAGUAUUGGUUUGUAAGUUUUCUGAUCCAACUAGGCAUUGUUGCAGAGAACAGCAUACUUUGUCGGUUUUGUGGCAGCUUCUCCAUGAUCACCUCAACAGCUUCAUCAAAACCCACAGCCAGCAUCUGAUCAGCUUCAUCCAGAACCACAAAUUGGAUCUCUGAUAAGUUUAGAACACCUCUUCUCAAAAGAUCAAUAACACGCCCUGGAGUUCCAACCACAACGUCAACACCAUAAUUAAGAGUUCUCAUUUGCUGACUGAUGGGAACACCUCCAUAGACACAAAGAGUGUCUAAUGGAGCAGAUUCUCUAAAUUCCUUCUCAACUUGUCGAGCGAGUUCUCGAGUAGGUGCCAAGAUGAUGGCUAAAGGAUUUCUACCGCUUCUGCAUGCAGCAGACUAUACAAUUAUCACCAUAAAUCGUAUAUUUGCAGUAGCUAGAUAAGAACAGUUCUAAAGUAGAAAAAGNAAACCAUGGUUUACCUCUGUGAACCUGCAUCCUAUAUCCUGCUCGAUGCCCUUUACAGUUCUACUUUGUUCAUAUGUGUACAUUAGAAUGGCAAUGCCUUUCUUCCCUGCUCGUGCAGUUCGCCCAGAUCUGUGAACAAAUAACUCUGACGAGUUUGGGAUUUCAUAAUGUACCACCUGAAAGAAAGUAACAUGAUAUUCCAAGUUAUGCUAAUGUGCACAUCAAACGACCAGAGGAACCAUAUUUUAGGGUGCCAAAGAGGUUCUUGUGCUGUUCAUAUCCAUAGGGAAUAUCUCGAGCCACUUACUAGAUCAACAUUGGGUAUGUCUAAUCCACGGGCUGCAACAUCAGUUGCUACAAGGAUGUUAAAGCGGCCAUCUCGAAAUCCUGAGAGUGUCCUUUCUCUCUGAUUUUGUGAGAUAUCUCCAUGCAGCGCCUGACAUGCAUAACUCCUGCCCAUGGCAUAUGCCAAUCUAUCUGCUUCUCGUUUAGUUUGAGUAAAUACAAUGCACUUCCCACCAUCAGCAUGCUCCUACGGAGAAGUGGAAAGGAAGCAGUAUUAGGUAGAGUUGCUGACAAUGCCAACCACAAAACACACAUACGGUCAGGAGAAUGCUCACUUUAAUCAAUGGACCAAGAAUGGAGGACUUCCCAUAGUUCUCAGAUACAAUUGAAUAAAGAGAGAUUCCUUCAGGUAAUUUCUGUUCUGAGUCACCAACCUGAGAAAAAGAGUAAUUGCCAAAUAAUUCCCCUAAAAUUCU
rnacentral:lncRNA from 1 species